CCCUCGUUUAUUGUGGCCCUUCAUUUCCUUCUGGCGAGGGACUCCCUCUGCUCCUACAGCGCUUACCCUUCAUGCUUCUGCCCGUGGCGUGGGGAGGGGGACGUUGUGCACAGAUAUCAAAGGGCAGAGGACGGUCUGCGCUGUGGGGUGGGCACAGAUGGGACGAGCUGGUGCGCCUCACACAGCCCUGGUCUGCACUGCCCACCCUGAAGCUUGACUCGGGCUCUUCCAGCCUGAGCCCCAUUGCUGGGUGGGCACUGCUGGCCUAGGCGAUGUGGGCUCUCAUCUACCUCUGCUUCCCACACAGGCCAGGCAGCAGUUCAGAGCACCCCAAGUCCAGCAGCGCUUCCCCCCACUGAAGAACACCCCCAGAAGGGGGAGAAAGCGCAGCCAGGAAAAAUCUCCAGCAAGGAGACAAGCAAAGAGAUUGCUUCCCGCCUUCCUCGAGCAGAGAAUGGGAGGACAAUGGCCCCACCAGCAGAGAUAGCAGUGCCCACGUAAGUGUGCAGCAGCUCCCAGCAAGGCUUGGCAGAGGCGAGUGGCUGAGAGCGGCCAGCUGUGGGGUCAGGGGA
ensembl:lncRNA